CGCACCGGAACGGUCGCUCGGCGGGAAACCGUCCGAGAGGAAAGUCCGAGCACGGUAGGACAAGGUGGUGGGUAACCCCCACCGACCCGCUGCAGGGUCAGGGACAGUGCCACAGAAAAUAAACCGCCUCGCUGGGCACUUCGGUACUUGGCGCGGUAAGGGUGAAACGGUGCGGUAAGAGCGCACCGCUCGAGUGGUGACACUCGAGGCAAGGCAAACCCCACCUCGUGCAAGCGCAAGCAGUUUCCACUUGAAUCGUCGAAAGACGCAGCAAGUGCCCGCGGUUCGUGGGUUUGGAAACGGGUCGCGUGCUUGAGCUGAUGGGUAACCAUCAGCCUAGAGAAAUGGCCGUUACUCGCAUAGGCGCAAGCCCUUGCGAGAACAGAACUCGGCUUAGCGGUGCGUUGC
rnacentral:RNase_P_RNA from 1 species